UUACCUGUGCUUGACAUGGACCGGAUUGGCGUAGAGAUACGUUUUCCCUUGUGGUCGGUUCACCGGUGGUGCAAGGUUGUUGUCAGCUUGUGUUGUGAGAAGUUGGGUUAAGUUCCGCAACGAGGGCAACCCUUGUUUUAUGUUGCCAGCACAUUUUUGGUGGGUACUCAUGAGAGACUGCCGGGGUUAACUCGGAGGAAGGUGGGGAUGACGUCAAAUCAUCAUGCCCCUUAUGUCCAGGGGUUCACACAUGGUACAAUGGUCGGUACAGCGAGUUGCCACACCGUGAGGUGGAGCUAAUUUCUUAAAGCCGGCCUCAGUUCGGAUUGGGGUUUGCAACUCGACCCCAUGAAGUUGGAGUCGGUAGUAAUCGCAGAUCAGCAACGCGGGAAAUCCGUUC
rnacentral:rRNA from 1 species